rnacentral:rRNA from 1 species
UACAGAGGUGCCGAGCGUUAGGCGGAAUCACUGGGCUUAAAGCGUGUGUAGGCGGACUUCUAAGUACCUUGUGAAAUCCCACGGCUCACCCGUGGAACUGCUGGGUAUACUGGUCGUCUUGAGCCACCUAGGGGCGAGCGGAACAAAUGGUGGAGCGGUGAAAUGCGUAGAUAUCAUUUGGAACGCCAAUGGUGAAAACAGGUAGCUGGGGUUGUGCUGACGCUGAGACACGAAAGCCAGGGGAGCAAACGGG